GCGUGAAUUAGGCUGUCCCCUUUUGAGGGAGCAGCUCGGAUGGUGGCGUAACCUCGCAGGCCCUGGGCAGGGGCUCCGGGGAAUUCCUGGCCAAAAGUACUUUAAUCAGCAUUUAAUGACCCAGUCGAAAAUUCAUUGUUUGGACCCAAGCACUGGUGGGAAAGGCAGGAGGGGAGGCCUGCCUUCCUUCCUCCCUCCCGAGCCCUACAGCAGGCCAUGGAGUGGUGAGCGAGUUCGUACAGUGCCAACCACAUUCCCAGAAACUUCCAGCAGAGGUUAAUCCUGCUCCUCUCAGGUGGGCUUGGCCCAUUCUCUAGACUUUGGAAGGUAAUGUUCUAUAGAGGCCUGUUCUGAAGCUUUACCAGGUCAAACCGGAGAAGAACCCAACAAGUAACUCAUCCCAGCCUAACUAUUCUUCAAGGGCAAUCAACCUACAGCAUCCAAGCACAGAGAAAUCAAAUCCAUGGAGAAUCUUCAAAUUAGGCUCAGAAUCCAUUUGGGUCAAUGAAUUUACUGUUAUUAAGAUCUUAGUUGUGUUCAACCAUGAUUUGACAUACCUUAGAGUGAGAAGAUAUUCUUCCUGGCCUCAGACUAGUUGAAGGUAGAGAGAGAGACAGGCCCUUGGGUGUGGGGAGACCUCUCCUGGGAUAAUACACACAAAAAACCAAGAGCUGCUCACUGUGGUGCAGGAGACAGCAGGGCCUGAAGCCAGAGGCUCUGUGUCCUUGAAUACAAUGUUUUACUCCUCUGACCCCUGUUACUGUGAUUUGGAGAGGCAGACAAUAUAGGAUGGGCUUUGCAGGCAGGGAGGUCCAGUUAUAAUCCCAGCUCUUACUAAGUUGGGUAAGACUCACUCUGAGACUUAGUUUCUUCUGUCAUCUCUCAAUAGAAUCAUAAAGGUACUUUCCUCUUAGUGUUGUUUUAAAAUUCAGUAAAAUAAUGCAGGCUUAGCACAGGGUCUGAUGUAAAUUUUCAAUGAAUUAUCGUUGUCAAUAUUGUUCUGGAAAACAAGAGGGCAUAUUAGAAGAUCAAAAGUACUGCCAAGCAUUGAAGUGCCAAUUCUAGAUCCAGUCUCAGCCCUCUGAGAAUGGAUAUCAUUGUUUUCAAGCCAUUCAGAAACCAAUGUGAAUUGAACACCUAGUAUGAGCUCUCUGAGGGAAGAGCCAAGUCAUGCAUUUUUUAUCUUAAGGGGUCUUCAAUACCUCUAGCCCAAAACAGUAUCUCCAUCAGGAUUCUUCUCUGAUAGUGUUCAUUUCUUUUUUCUCAAUGGAUGCCUUAAAAAAAAAAUCCUACAAGGAAACCUGUACUCCUCAAAUACACCACUCAGGUGACCAUUAAAUCAUUUACAUUGUUAAUUUCUUUUCAGAUGUGUGUCUUUUUCCCUAGUUACAUCAUCAGGACCUUGAAGGUAGGGACAGGUCUUAGAUUUCUUGAUGCCCCCAUAAAUCUAGGUACAGAGUAGGUCUCUGGACAUCAGUAUAAGGCCCAUGAGCCUGAUAGCUGCCCAGGUGGGUGCUGUGUGCCUGGGCGUGGGAAGGACAAAAGAGAGGUCACUAAAGGGGUUCCUGGGAAGGAAGAGCCCCUCUGACUUUAAAAGGGAGCCCAUACACUUUUUGGACAACUGGAAUAAUCAGAAAGCUGUUUUUGGGGAGGCAGCAGCCAGAAAAACCUGGGGCAUUGGGUCAACCAAAGCCCUUCCCAAGGCUGCAGUGGCUGCAGCUAGUUAGCCCAGCUUCCCUACCAGCCCCAGGGCUGCAACUGAACAGUGUUGGCUUCUUAAUAAAAACAG
rnacentral:lncRNA from 10 species